UACAGAGGGGGCAAGCGUUGUUCGGAAUUACUGGGCGUAAAGGGCGCGUAGGCGGCCUGCUAAGUCGGACGUGAAAUCCCCGGGCUCAACCCGGGAACUGCGUCCGAUACUGGCAGGCUUGAAUCCGGGAGAGGGAUGUGGAAUUCCAGGUGUAGCGGUGAAAUGCGUAGAUAUCUGGAGGAACACCGGUGGCGAAGGCGGCAUCCUGGACCGGCAUUGACGCUGAGGCGCGAAAGCCAGGGGAGCAAACGGG
rnacentral:rRNA from 1 species